GGGGGAAAGUAGAACACGAUAAUAAGCCGCUAACUUAAUUAUCUAGCGGUUAAAAUCCGUUAUUACCCCUA
rnacentral:tRNA from 1 species